GCAGAAGGUCAGUAAUAACUUCCACAACGGGGUUACUCCAGUAGUUACGUCCUCAAGCAUCUCAGGGCAGUGAUUGCCUAAGUGUCCAGUAUCUCCAGUGUGUUUGUGCUCGUAGAUCUAGGUUCUUCACUUAGUGGAGUCUGGGAGUUGUAAAAGUCCUUCAUAUUUUGCUCGAAGUGUACCUGCUCAUAAAGACAAGGCAGAGAUCAAGUGCAUGGGCCCUGUUGGUGGAAAACACCAACAGAACCAAAAGUGUAUUUGUUCUUCUCUAACCUUAAGCAUAGUGAGCAAGACAAAGUUGAUGGAUAAUAAGAUCAUGAGUGUAGCAUUUAAAACAUUCGUCAGAUCAGAUCACUCAACCUAAUGGAAAGAUAAUCUAUCUAUACUUAUCUCUUUUUUUAUAUAUAUCUUCCAAAGAUUGUGUGUGCAAUAUUUAGUGUGGGAUCACAAAGGUGAAAGGACUAAACAUAUUGAAUCGAUUGGGUUGGUUAAUCUAGAAUUGUAAAUCAUACAUGUUUGUCUCUUUUAUUCAUGUGAAUGCCAGAACCAAGGAGAAGCUUAUAGAAGUGAUAGUCAAGUACCUUAAGAUGUUACCUUACUUGAAGAGUGAUGGUACAAUAUCACCUUGUGGAAGCUUUCCUCUCUUAGCGGUUGUGCAUCGUGUUUGUGGCACCCUCCAUGGAUCAUCUCUGUGAGCUAUGCCUUCCUUGUAUAAAUUGUUAAACUUCAUGUGUCUCUCUCUUUAUAUCCAAUGUGAGUUUAUCUCAGGACUUCCCAGGUCGAUAUUGAAAGUUUUCCUGC
rnacentral:lncRNA from 1 species